UGGGUGGUUACCCCGAUCCCACGGGGGGGGGGCUGGAGACCCCCGGGCAGGCAGAGGCAACAUUUUGGGGUGCCCUGACCCCCCCCCACACCCCCCUCGCCCCCAGCGCCUGCUUGAGGAAAGCCGUCGAGGUGGCAUCGCUGCUGGCGGGGCGCCGCUGCUGCGUCCUCCUGCAAGAGCCGUCCGACCGGGACCUCAACUGCCUGCUGGCCUCCCUGGUGCAGCUCCUGGCGGACCCCCACGCCCGGACCCUGCCGGGCUUCCAGAGCCUGGUGCAGCGCGAGUGGGUGGCAGCCGGCCACCCCUUUCCCCGCCGCCUCGGCCUGCGGCGCGACAGCCCCCGGGAGGAGGCGCCCGUGUUCCCGCUGUUCCUGGACUGCACGUGGCAGCUGGUGCGGCAGUUCCCGGCGGCCUUUGGCUUCACCGAGGCGUACCUGCUGGCCCUGCACGACAGCGGCUUCCUGCCCUACUGCGGCACCUUCCUCUUCAGCUGCCAGCGCCAGCGGGGCCGCGGCGGCCCGGUGAGCGGGGCCGGGGGCUCGGCGGCACCCCCGGACCCCUUCCAGCAGCUUUAGGGCGGCGGGGAAUCCUCCUCACCCCCCCCCGUGGCGGCAUCCAGCUGCCCACCGGCGCCGUGCCUCGGUUUCCCCACCUGUGCCCCGAAUCCCCCCCCCCCCCGCUUUGGGGGUGGGGGGGCGCUCACCCCGUCCCUUCCUCCUCCCCGCAGCAGCAGCCCCGCAGCCAGACCUACACGCCGGUGAACGGCUGGUGGGACCCCCCCCCGGGCAGGGGGGGCAGCGCCGGCAGCCGCCUGCCCCCGGUUUGGGACUGGGCGCUGCGCUACAGCCCGCAGCAGCGGGUGCGGUUUCGGAACCCGGCGGGGGUCCCCAGCACCGUGGGACCCCCCGACACCGCGAACCCCCAGACCACGGGCACAGUGAGCCU
rnacentral:lncRNA from 1 species